ACCCCAGUGGUGGGUGCAGUGAUAGCACGCGUCCCCGGUAUGGAUAAAAUGCAGGUUCGACUCCUGUCUGAGGUC